AGGACGAACGCUGGCGGCGUGCUUAACACAUGCAAGUCGAACGGAAAGGCCCUUCGGGGUACUCGAGUGGCGAACGGGUGAGUAACACGUGGGUGAUCUGCCCCGCACUUUGGGAUAAGCCUGGGAAACUGGGUCUAAUACCGAAUAGGACCAUGGCAUGCAUGUGCUGUGGUGGAAAGCUUUUGCGGUGUGGGAUGGGCCCGCGGCCUAUCAGCUUGUUGGUGGGGUUAAGGCCUACCAAGGCGACGACGGGUAGCCGGCCUGAGAGGGUGUCCGGCCACACUGGGACUGAGAUACGGCCCAGACUCCUACGGGAGGCAGCAGUGGGGAAUAUUGCACAAUGGGCGCAAGCCUGAUGCAGCGACGCCGCGUGGGGGAUGACGGCCUUCGGGUUGUAAACCCCGUUUCAGUAGGGACGAAGCGCAAGUGACGGUACCUACAGAAGAAGCACCGGCCAACUACGUGCCAGCAGCCGC
rnacentral:rRNA from 1 species